rnacentral:rRNA from 1 species
GACGAAGGAUGCAAGCGUUAUCCGGAUUCAUUGGGUUUAAAGGGCGCGUAGGUGGCCUUAUAAGUCAGUGGUGAAAUCUCUCAGCUUAACUGAGAAAUUGCCAUUGAUACUGUAGGGCUUGAGUACAGAUGCCGUUGGCGGAAUAUGACAAGUAGCGGUGAAAUGCAUAGAUAUGUCACAGAACACCAAUUGCGAAGGCAGCUUACUAAGGUGCAAUUGACGCUGAGGCACGAAAGCGUGGGGAGCAAACAGG